CCAGACUCCUACGGGAGGCGGCAGUGGGGAAUAUUGCACAAUGGGGGAAACCCUGAUGCAGCGACGCCGCGUGAAGGAAGAAGUAUUUCGGUAUGUAAACUUCUAUCAGCAGGGAAGAAAAUGACGGUACCUGACUAAGAAGCCCCGGCUAACUACGUGCCAGCAGCCGCGGUAAUACGUAGGGGGCAAGCGUUAUCCGGAUUUACUGGGUGUAAAGGGAGCGUAGACGGUAGAGCAAGUCUGAAGUGAAAGCCCGCGGCUCAACGGCGGGACUGCUUUGGAAACUGCGGCGCUGGAGUACGGGAGGGGCAGGCGGAAUUCCUGGUGUAGCGGUGAAAUGCGUAGAUAUCAGGAGGAACACCGGCGGCGAAGGCGGCCUGCUGGACCGCGACUGACGUUGAGGCUCGAAAGCGUGGGGAGCGAACAGGAUUAGAUACCCUUGUAC
rnacentral:rRNA from 1 species